rnacentral:rRNA from 1 species
UACGGAGGAUGCGAGCGUUAUCCGGAUUUAUUGGGUUUAAAGGGUGCGUAGGCAGACGCUUAAGUCAGCGGUAAAAUUGCGGGGCUCAACCUCGUCGAGCCGUUGAAACUGGGUGCCUUGAGUGGGCGAGAAGUACGCGGAAUGCGUGGUGUAGCGGUGAAAUGCAUAGAUAUCACGCAGAACUCCGAUUGCGAAGGCAGCGUACCGGCGCCCUACUGACGCUGAAGCACGAAGGCGUGGGUAUCGAACAGG